rnacentral:lncRNA from 1 species
GUGUUCUAGCAACUUUUACUUGUUGAUUGGGAUAAGUGUUUAUUAAUUAUUAUUUAUAAGUUUAUACGCAAAAUUUAUUUGAGGUUUUUUUUUUUUUUCAUUUAUUUGGUGAAUGCUACAAGUUAAUAGCACUAAAAACUUUCAAUAUUAUUACCGUUGACAAAAAAAUAAAAAAAAAAAAAAAAAAACAAAAAAAAAAAAAAAAAAAAAAAAAAAAAAAAAAAAAAAAAAAAUUGAACACAUAUCGGCGCCUACAAUUUUUUGUACGUGCAAACAAGGAAAAAUCUAUACUCGAGGAAGGAGUUGAGUAGCAAGCAUAAACUAUUUAGUUAACAAAAGUUAUUCACUUUUUUUAUCCACGUAGUUAAAAGGUUUUAUCCUUCCUCACGCUUUCCUCUAUUUUUUUAGAGGAAAAGCAUUUUUGUAUUCAAAAUUAGAGUGUGUUUUGAAUAAAUUGCAACUUUUUUACUUGUGUUUUGUUGGU